AGGACAAAUACAGAAUGUGAGGUGCAGGGAGCUGAAGGCCCCUGGGAAGUGACCAACUCAGCAUUUCGCUGGAGGCUAUAGGAUCAAACAGCAAACUGUUUAUCAUGAAUGCAGGAUGUGGGCAAACUCACACUGCCCUGCCACCAAAAGAACAGGGACGCCAAGGAUGCCAACAAGUGGCGUCUGAACACGGGACUUCGACGAUGUGAACAAAAAAGAUCUGCUGGAGCAGAGAAGCUGAAAUUGACAAGGCAAACGGGGACCCCAGGAUGAGUCUGCCGGCAGCAUAUAUAAGGCAGGGACUAUAGGAAAUGAAGGUGAACUCGUGGAGAUUUUGGAGAGAAUUUAAUGAAGAGGCUGUUUACCAAGGAUCUCUCUCUGUCUCCGAGGCUGGAGUGCAAUGUUGCAAUCAGGGCUCACUGCAGCCUCGACCUCCUGGGCUCAACUGAUCUUCGUACCACAGCCUCAUGAGUAACUGGGACUACAGAUAGUAUCUCAUGAUAUGAAUGGUCCUGGAUUUACUUACACAUCCUCCUUUGGAUGAGCAAGACAACAACAUACCUGGACAGAAAUGCCUCGAGGAUGUACUGAAGGCCCCUCUCACUUUUCACAGCCAUAACUGUAAGUUUCCUGGGGCCUCUCCAGAAGACAAGCAGAUGCCGCUAUGCUUCCUGAACAGCCCACAGAACUCUCCCAGUUGUGGGCAGAGUCUGGUUAAGGUACAGCCUUGGAAUUAUUUUAACAUUUUCAGUCGCAUUCUUGGAGGAAGCCAAGUGGAGAAGGGUUCCUAUCCCUGGCAGGUAUCUCUGAAACAAAGGCAGAAGCAUAUUUGUGGAGGAAGCAUCGUCUCACCACAGUGGGUGAUCACGGCGGCUCACUGCAUUGCAAACAGAAACAUUGUGUCUACUUUGAAUGUUACUGCUGGAGAGUAUGACUUAAGCCAGACAGACCCAGGAGAGCAAACUCUCACUAUUGAAACUGUCAUCAUACAUCCACAUUUCUCCACCAAGAAACCAAUGGACUAUGAUAUUGCCCUUUUGAAGAUGGCUGGAGCCUUCCAAUUUGGCCACUUUGUGGGGCCCAUAUGUCUUCCAGAGCUGCGGGAGCAAUUUGAGGCUGGUUUUAUUUGUACAACUGCAGGCUGGGGCCGCUUAACUGAAGGUGGCGUCCUCUCACAAGUCUUGCAGGAAGUGAAUCUGCCUAUUUUGACCUGGGAAGAGUGUGUGGCAGCUCUGUUAACACUAAAGAGGCCCAUCAGUGGGAAGACCUUUCUUUGCACAGGUUUUCCUGAUGGAGGGAGAGACGCAUGUCAGGGAGAUUCAGGAGGUUCACUCAUGUGCCGGAAUAAGAAAGGGGCCUGGACUCUGGCUGGUGUGACUUCCUGGGGUUUGGGCUGUGGUCGAGGCUGGAGAAACAAUGUGAGGAAAAGUGAUCAAGGAUCCCCUGGGAUCUUCACAGACAUUAGUAAAGUGCUUCCCUGGAUCCACGAACACAUCCAAACUGGUAACUAAGCCAUCACACAAGGUUAAGAAGCUGCCAUUCUGCUAGGGCCAGAGACAGCAUCAGCAGAGUCCUGGCAAAUCAGAGCACCUGAACCAACAGGCUCUACCUCUGUUCUCAGUGUAGCACACAAGGAUUGUGAGGUUUACCAAGUCUAAAUAAAACAAGAGUAAAAUAUGGUAUGUGGAGCAGCAUGCAGAUAUUCAAUGAAAAAUGAAUCCAUCCAUCCUAGACCUUCUCAAACUGGCCUUUAAUUGAAACUAUCUCAGUUGAUGAUAUGCUUUCACCACUUACUUCUCUGGAUUCAGAG
rnacentral:lncRNA from 1 species